UACGAAGGGUGCAAGCGUUAAUCGGAAUUACUGGGCGUAGAGGGUGCGUAGGCGGUUCGUUAAGUCUGUCGUGAAAUCCCCGGGCUCAACCUGGGAAUGGCGAUGGAUACUGGCGAGCUAGAGUGUGUCAGAGGAUGGUGGAAUUCCCGGUGUAGCGGUGAAAUGCGUAGAGAUCGGGAGGAACAUCAGUGGCGAAGGCGGCCAUCUGGGACAACACUGACGCUGAAGCGCGACAGCGUGGGGAGCAAACAGG
rnacentral:rRNA from 1 species